rnacentral:rRNA from 1 species
UACAGAGGGGGCAAGCGUUGUUCGGAAUUACUGGGUGUAAAGGGCGCGUAGGCGGCCUUCUAAGUCAGACGUGAAAUCCCUCGGCUCAACCGGGGAACUGCGUCUGAGACUGGAAGGCUUGAAUCCGGGAGAGGGAUGUGGAAUUCCAGGUGUAGCGGUGAAAUGCGUAGAUAUCUGGAGGAACACCGGUGGCGAAGGCGACAUCCUGGACCGGUAUUGACGCUGAGGCGCGAAAGCGUGGGGAGCAAACAGG